GAGAGCCAUACAGGAGAGAAAGAACGAAAGAGAGUCAGAGAGGAAGGAGAUGUACGUCUUGGAUAGCUCUGCCGUGUACCAAUUACGAAAUACCCAAUCUACUAUCUUCGGGAAGCCUCUAUCAGCCAUGUAUCAGAAGUGUUCUUAUUCGAUGGUGUUUUCAUUCUGAGACUGGCGCGAGAGAGUAAAGCUAAUCCGAGAGAGAGGAAGAAGAGGAGAUUGGGUUGUUGGAAUCGAAAGCAGAAGAGAAGAGGUUCGUCUGGAUUUCGUAAUAGCGAUCUUCUGUGACAGAGAGAGCGACAGAGUGAGGCCGAUCUGAGAGUGAGGCCGAUCUGGGAGAGAGGAAGAGCAGGAGAUGGGAAGAGAAGAAAAGAAAAGAAGAAGAACAAAAAGAGGAAGAAGAAGAGGGAAAUCGAGUAAAUUGAUCAUCCCAGGGAUUUCCAUAAGCAUAUCAAAAGAGGCAGCUAAUACAGUUAGAGAAGAAUCUUAGAACUUAGAAAAGAGCACAUCAGUUGAUAGCAGAAAAGUUUUGCUGUGAACACUGCUGGACUGAUCAUGUUCAAGCACAGUUGCUGCCCUAUUUUGCAUAAGUCGAGUGUGGUAGAGGCCGUAGAGCAAUUACCUAUCCCUUUUUCCAUGCAUCUUAAUAUCCAGCUUCAGAGUCACUGUUCUCAUUGAAGAUGAGACUGGUCAAGCACAUGCAGUCUUAAUGGGCAAAGAAGCAGAAGAAAUCUUUGGAAUCUCAUGUGAAGACUUGAUUAUCCAGAAAAGCUGCAAAAAAACAAAGGAUCAGACCACAAGAAAUUCUUUAAUUAGAAGGAAGUCAAACUGCUAAAAUUGAAGCCAGGAACAAAAUGAGAUUUCCUUAUAAAGGGGAUAUACAAAGAUGUUCACAAGUUCACACCAACCCAAGAUAUCGAAUGAUGUAGGACGAGAUUUUAGCCAAUUUCAACCAAAAAUCUUGAAAAGAAAGAAGCGUCUUCACAUUAAGAAGAAUAAUUUGAAUAUUGGAAAUUGGUAUUCA